UGUGGGAGCUGGCUUGCCAGCGAUGACGGUGUGUCAGUCAGCGAUAAGUUGAAUGUGCCGACCUCAUCGCUGGCAAGCCAGCUCCCACA
rnacentral:misc_RNA from 1 species